UCCCCAUCUUAGGGUUAGCCUAUUAGCAAC
rnacentral:piRNA from 2 species